rnacentral:lncRNA from 1 species
AUGCUCCUUAGUAGCACAUGCCCAGGAUCGUGUGUGUGGGGCUUGCGCUGUGCUGAGAAGCUGAAUACCGGUCCAUAUGCUCCUUAUUUACUGCAAUGUUCUUUGCAUGUUACUGUGCACUCCGGACUAACGUUAAGUAUGUUUUGCCAAUUGAGCCUUUAUAUAUACUACAAUCAAAAGGAAUUCUUGAGAGUGGUGUGUUUCAAGCUAUUAUAAUUUUUCAUGUAGCAAUCAAGACACUAAAUCUGGCCCACUAAUGUACCCACACAAACACGCACACACAGACAAAUAUAUGUGUGUGACUCCUGGGUCACUGUUUAUGCAAUCUUCUAUUAAAAUAUUUUGAAUGACAACUAUAAUUUAUGUGCUAUGAUAUAAUUAUGUACUAGUACUAGUCUUGGAUUCUCAGAUAAAUGGAAAAUAGUCCUUGCUUUGAGAAAGUCUCCAGUAUAGGACAAGCCACAGACAUAUAAAUAAGUGCUUUGCAAUAGUAUAAGAUCUGUAAUAGAGCUCUAUGCAGUAUAUUAUUGUAACAACAAACCGUCCAGUUUUAUCUGCUGAUCAAAAAGGGUUUCACAGUGAAGUCACCUGCAAGUGGAGUCUUGACAAAUAAUGGAGUUUUAUCAAGAAGCUUGGAGUGAGGAAGGCAAGCUGGAUAGAGGAAAUGACCAAAGCAUGGGGCUCAGGAAAACACUUUGAAGAGCUGCAAAUGGUUUGUAAUAGAUGGAGUAUAGGG